UGCAAGUCGAGCGGACGAAUCGAAAGCUUGCUUUUGAUUCGUUAGCGGCGGACGGGUGAGUAACACGUGGGCAACCUGCCCUGUAGACGGGGAUAACACCGAGAAAUCGGUGCUAAUACCGGAUAACACGAAAUGUCGCAUGACGUUUCGUUGAAAGACGGCGCAAGCUGUCGCUACAGGAUGGGCCCGCGGCGCAUUAGCUAGUUGGUGAGGUAACGGCUCACCAAGGCGACGAUGCGUAGCCGACCUGAGAGGGUGAUCGGCCACACUGGGACUGAGACACGGCCCAGACUCCUACGGGAGGCAGCAGUAGGGAAUCCUCCGCAAUGGACGAAAGUCUGACGGAGCAACGCCGCGUGAGCGAAGAAGGCCUUCGGGUCGUAAAGCUCUGUUGUUAGGGAAGAACAAGUAACGCAGUAACUGGCGUUACCGUGACGGUACCUAACGAGAAAGCCACGGCUAACUACGUGCCAGCAGCCGCGGUAAUACGUAGGUGGCAAGCGUUGUCCGGAAUUAUUGGGCGUAAAGCGCGCGCAGGCGGUUCCUUAAGUCUGAUGUGAAAGCCCACGGCUCAACCGUGGAGGGUCAUUGGAAACUGGGGGACUUGAGUGCAGAAGAGGAGAGCGGAAUUCCACGUGUAGCGGUGAAAUGCGUAGAGAUGUGGAGGAACACCAGUGGCGAAGGCGGCUCUCUGGUC
rnacentral:rRNA from 1 species